rnacentral:rRNA from 1 species
ACACGACUACAUUAGAUACCCGCGUAGUCCCAGCCCUAGACGAUGCGCGUUAGGUGUAUCGGUGACCACGAGUCACCGAGGUGCCGAAGGGAAACCGUGAAACGUGCCGCCUGGGAAGUACGGUCGCAAGGCUGAAACUUAAAGGAAUUGGCGGGGAGCACCACAACGGGUGGAGCCUGCGGUUUAAUUGGACUCAACGCCGGGAAGCUCACCGGAUAAGACAGCGGAAUGAUUGCCGGGCUGAAGACCCUGCAUGACCAGCUG